rnacentral:rRNA from 1 species
GACGAACGCUGGCGGCGUGCCUAAUACAUGCAAGUCGAACGCACUCUCGUUUAGAUUGAAGGAGCUUGCUCCUGAUUGAUAAACAUUUGAGUGAGUGGCGGACGGGUGAGUAACACGUGGGUAACCUGCCCUAAAGUGGGGGAUAACAUUUGGAAACAGAUGCUAAUACCGCAUAAAACCUAAACACCGCAUGGUGUAGGUUGAAAGAUGGUUUCGGCUAUCACUUUAGGAUGGACCGCGGUGCAUUAGUUAGUUGGUGAGGUAAAGGCUCACCAAGACCGUGAUGCAUAGCCGACCUGAGAGGGUAAUCGGCCACACUGGGACUGAGACACGGCCCAGACUCCUACGGGAGGCAGCAGUAGGGAAUCUUUCCACCAAUGGACGAAAGUACUGAUGGAGCAACGCCGCGUGAGUGAAGAAGG